rnacentral:rRNA from 1 species
UACGUAGGGUGCAAGCGUUGUCCGGAAUUAUUGGGCGUAAAGAGCUCGUAGGCGGUCUGUCGCGUCUGCUGUGAAAACUCAGGGCUUAACCCUGAGCUUGCAGUGGGUACGGGCAGACUAGAGUGCGGUAGGGGAGACUGGAAUUCCUGGUGUAGCGGUGAAAUGCGCAGAUAUCCGAAAGAACACCGGUGGCGAAGGCGGUGGUCUGGGCCUGAACUGACGCUGAGGAGCGAAAGCCAGGGGAGCAAACGGG